rnacentral:tRNA from 1 species
GGGCCCAUAGCUCAGUCGGUUAGAGCAACAGACUCAUAAUCUGUGGGUCCCUGGUUCGAGCCCAGGUGGGCCCAC